GCCUGGGAUGAUGGUGCACACCUGCAGUCCCAGCUACUCUGGAGGCUGAAACAGGAGGAUUGCUUGAGUAGUCCAGGAGUUCUGGGCUGUAGUGCGCUAUGCCAAUCAGGUGUCCACACUAAGUUCAGCAUCAAUAUGGUGACUUCAAGGGAGCAGGGAAUCACCAGGUUGCCUAAAGAGGGGUGAACCACCCCAGGUUGGAAAUGGGGCAGGUCAAAACUUCCGUACUGCAGUAGUAAGAUCCUGUCUGUGGAUAGCCACUGCACUCCAACCUGGGCACCACAGUGAGAUCACAUCUCUU
ensembl:misc_RNA Metazoa_SRP Metazoan signal recognition particle RNA